UACAGAGGGGGCAAGCGUUGUUCGGAAUUACUGGGCGUAAAGGGCGCGUAGGCGGCCUGCUAAGUCGAACGUGAAAUCCCUGGGCUCAACCCAGGAACUGCGUCCGAUACUGGUUGGCUUGAAUCCGGGAGAGGGAUGUGGAAUUCCAGGUGUAGCGGUGAAAUGCGUAGAUAUCUGGAGGAACACCGGUGGCGAAGGCGACAUCCUGGACCGGUAUUGACGCUGAGGCGCGAAAGCUAGGGGAGCGAACAGG
rnacentral:rRNA from 1 species